rnacentral:lncRNA from 1 species
CCGUUUGUUACUGUGUCCGUUUUACUCAGCUUACUGUGUCCGUUUAUUACUGUGCGCAUCUGGGACUCACUCAUAAUCUCGCGGAAAUAAUCAAAGUCCGAAAUUCACAAUUUUAUUUUACACUCAAACGGCUAAGUCCGGAGUAUGAUCUUGCGGAAAUAAUCAAAGUCCGAAAUUCACGAUUUUAUUUUACACUCAAACGGCUAAAUCCGGAGUAUGAUCUCGUGGAAAUAAUCAAAGUCCGAAAUUCACGAUUUUAUUUUACACUCAAACGGCUAAGUCCGGAAUCCCAAUUUUUUCAAUUCUUACGAAACUAAUCUAAGUCCGAAAAAUAAUUUUCUAUCAGCGACUUACUAUGUACUUUUGGCAGAAUUGAGAAGGCAAAUCUGGGUUUCGCCCGAAAAUCUCGCCUUAUAUACCCCAAAAUGAAGGUAAUUGGGGGUGAAGAGCUAUGAGCGGCGGGUCGUAAAUCUACCUGACGCCUGUCAAUUAUUUCUGCAAUUAGUUAAUUUUUGUAUUUGAUUUUACUUUCGUCAGAUGGGAUCUUGUUCCCGCGCUCAUAUUCUCCACUUGCGCGGCGCGUGACUUUCGCCCGCUCUUUUUAAUUGACCGAAUUCUUAAUUCUCGUUUUUCAUCAUGGACUUCGGGAUACGAGACUUUGCGACCACGGAGGUUCCGCGUGCUCCUCCUCGCGCCCGAAGUCCGUUGAAGUCAUUUAUCGUUAAUUAAGGACGUUCGGACACCGCUGUCCCGCGCCGAACACUUCCGCACGAUUGCGGGUGCACAGCCACACGCAACAGUAGAGCCCUGCCCCUUUUCUAAUGAAUUAUUAUUGAAUUAAUUUGUUAUUAACUUACGCAGUUUAUAUUAACAGUCUGGGGCUGAGGCGCCUCAGAAUGAAUCUGUAAAAGAAGGGGGGGGGGGUGUUACGUCCGAUAUUUUGGUGUGGAUGGAUGGUAAGGGACAAGAUAGAUGAUGUUGAUUUUACCCUGCAAGAGGGAAUAAGAAAGAAAAAAAAAUUUGAUGUUAACUUAUGUACAUUUUAUUUAUUCUGGAGCCUAUCUUCACCGUACACAGCUUCCAAGCUUGCCUUUCUGGUGAAGACUUAUGGGCUACAGUAUAUCCGGGGGGGGGGGAGAACAAUAGAUGCACGGUCCCGCGAAGAGAUUCGUUUCGCGAUAUCUGGCACUUUGGUCUAGUGGCGAGUGCUUGGGGAGGUUUUACUUGGCACCGGACGGGUACUGGUCGCGCCCGAAUCCUCGUCAGAGCGAUGUUGAAAGCUCGCGGUUUUGCGAGUUGUCUUUGGGAGGUUUUUGUAAUCUUUUUUGGAGGGGGUAGCGUGAAUGGGCCCGGUGAAAGAGGGUCCCCGUAGAUUGUGUCUGCAGCGUCCGGAAACGGAGUUCGAUCGAAGAUCGACGGGUCGAACUCCCCGAAAGAGUAAUACUCUUUUUUUAGGCGUUUUAGGUACGCCCUCCAUCCGCCUUUAUUUUUGCCCAUGAUCUUUCUAAAAAUGCGGUAGCCAUGUUAAUUUCCUUGAUGGAUCGCGGUAGGGAAGUUAUCUUAAUGUGAGCGUAAGGUUAUUUUUAUAAUGAUUUUUAGCUGUAAGAAGUUUUGAUGUAAGGCGAGGAAAUUUUUAAGGGGGGAAGGGAAUAGGGCUGCGUGAACAGUAAGGUGGCUUAGAUCGACCGUGCACGGUGCCGAUGAAAGGGGGGUGGGGUAAGGAAUUACAACAGUAACGCGCCUCAAACAGGCCAAGCGCGAUACUAAAUGGCGAAGAAACGGAAGAAUUUGUGAUAGUAAUGUGCCUCAGACAGGCCAAGCAUACUAUAAGUAAGGGAUCUUUUAAUAGUAGGGCGGCUCUGUUAGGUCAAGCGGUGUACUGUUCAAUAAGGAAUGAGAAUGGAAGAAUUGGUUCCUCCCCUUUUUUUAUAAUUUUUUUUGGUAGCGUGCCUCUGACAGGCCAAGCACGGCAUCGUAAAUGAAAGAUGGGAGAAUGAUAUGGAGAAGAAAUGAGAAUUUCCAGAGAUCUUGCCGAAGUCGAGUAUAAUUUUUGAUCCUUCUUACAGUUAUACUUACAACGCUGUAUGUGAUUUCGCUGUAAAAUCUUUCUGUGUGAUCUGUUUAGUCAGAGUAACUUCUGCCAGACUAUCGGAUUAAGACUAGUCGAAUUUCACCAAAUUUCGCUCGCUUAUAUAUCAUUAGGUUGGUGGUGGUGCGGCGAGGGGAUAGCAAAAUUCGGGGAAAUUAGGGUGGUAAAUCGUGGAGUAAUUUGUUGAUUAUUUCCGAAAUUGUUAAUACUAUUAUUUAAAGAAAUCAUCUGUAAUAAGUUAUUUUAACUUGCUAUCAAUAUUCUUUUGUCGCCUUGUUCCUAUUUUUAUUAAUUUAGGAAUUAUUAAUUCGCCCUUUUUUCACUAUAGAGAUUUAUAAGACUUUCCGUAGCGCAUGCUGGUUCCUCUCUGUUAAUAGUAUGAAUGAAGUUGUGCCUAAAUUGCGAGAUUUCGUUUAUUAAUAUUAAGAUUAGGAAAAAGGCGAACUGUAUUUUGAAGCAUAUCUUAUUUUGACCAUCAUUAAGUAAAGAAAAGGUUUAACUAAUUUAAUCUAUUGUUUAGUUGAUACUUUUGUUGUUUAGAUUUUUACAUGUGUUUUAUUCAGAAUUGUAUUUUGAUAGCAAUUGUGUGAAUAAAUUCGACUCCAGGAUUUAUCCCUUUUUUUGAUGUCCUCUUAAUCCGCGUGAUUACAAUCAAAUUAUAAUAUUAAUAAUGCUAGAUUGAUUUUGAACAUGUGAGCGCGUCACGCUUGCGCCGCGUGGACGAUGUGCGGACCGCGUGAUUGAGCGCGCGCGCUUGAUCAGCUGAUCGCGAAAUGAAUUUAGUGUCUCUAAUUUUUCGUAUGCGCACAGCGCGAUUGUCAGGUGGAUGUUAAGUUUUCUUGUGGUUCAUCUUCUUGCACGCUGCCCGAGUGGCGCGACGGGGGAGGAGAAUUUCACGGGCGGCCAGAAAAGAAAAGAAAUUUUCUGUGCCGGACGUAACAGGGGAGUCGCCUUCCUUUGGAGAUUUUACGCUUUCUUCGAUAAUUUGCCGGUAAUUAAUGUUUUAGAUUAAGCAUGCGUGCCAUCUGUAUGGACCGCAUGCUUACGGCGCGUGAUACCCUGGGCCCGGCGGCGCGUGAACGUCAGCGCCUAGCCACCAGGCAAUACGAUUUUUCGCGCGAUGCUCUGUAUGAUCGUAACGGACGGCGCGAAUGAUUUAGCCGGACGUAACACAUGUAAUAACGAUGAAAAAACUUAAUAAAUAUUUUUUAAAUUUAAUAUCUCUUUUAUUAAUGUAAAA